rnacentral:rRNA from 1 species
UACAGAGGUCUCAAGCGUUGUUCGGAUUCAUUGGGCGUAAAGGGUGCGUAGGUGGCGCUGUAAGUCGGGUGUGAAAUUUCGGAGCUUAACUCCGAAACUGCAUUCGAUACUGCGGUGCUUGAGGACUGGAGAGGAGGACUGGAAUUCAUGGUGUAGCAGUGAAAUGCGUAGAGAUCAUGAGGAAGACCAGUGGCGAAGGCGGGUCUCUGGACAGUUCCUGACACUGAGGCACGAAGGCCAGGGGAGGCAAACGGG